UGCGAGAUACACAGGCACCCUGCUCCAAAG
rnacentral:piRNA from 1 species